rnacentral:rRNA from 1 species
UACGUAGGGUGCGAGCGUUGUCCGGAAUUAUUGGGCGUAAAGGGCUCGUAGGCGGUUUGUCGCGUCGGGAGUGAAAACCAGGUGCUUAACACCUGGCUUGCUUUCGAUACGGGCAGACUAGAGGUAUGCAGGGGAGAACGGAAUUCCUGGUGUAGCGGUGAAAUGCGCAGAUAUCAGGAGGAACACCGGUGGCGAAGGCGGUUCUCUGGGCCGAUACUGACACUGGAGGAGCGAAAGCGUGGGGAGCGAACAGG